CUUCAAACCAACCACAAACGACGACUCAGAUCACCACCAGCACGAGCAUCUGCAUCUCCCCACCUACGAUCCCCGCUCUCAUGUGGCAAAGAGAGAACGGCGUCGUGUCAGGUCCGCAGAGAACGCCAUCCACUUGAUACCUGUCCUGCUAGUCCUCUGCGCCAUCAUCCUCUGGUUCUUUUCCAAUCCAGAACGAAAUAUACCAAGAUUGAUGAGAAGAUCGUUUGGAGGAGCAGCUUUCCGUUAAACAUGGAGGAGUUGAAGCUAAAGAAACGGUUUAUGAAUCACUUUCGGGGCCUCUCUUAUUCAAGAAAAAGCUCUUCUCAGCAAUUUAAUGUGUAUGUGAGAUAACACGGGCAUCGUUCGCUUUGGUUAGAUGCCUUGAUUGAAACAUACAUAAGUAUAUCAGAAAGGUGUUCAUAAGCAGUAUAAUGUCAUGUACAAUUAGUAUUGUGAGAUCCUGUCAAAAAAAAAAAAAUUUCUCACUCAUGCUUGACUGAUUUUGAACUUAUUCCGGAGUUUGUAGAGGCUCACAGUCGAAAUUCGUAUGCUCCAACAAUGGUCCUAACCUAAGAAGUUGGGGAAGAUGACAUUGUUUCGAAACACACAACAGGGUCAUCCCACUGCAAGAGUGACCCUACAGGAUUUGCGCAGUGCAGCCAGCGGAAAGAUGCGAAGCCAUCUAUCGCUUCAUUCGAGCUGAGAGCGGCUUCUAUGUAUGCUGGUCCUGACUUGAUUGCACCCGCAAGCUUUCUUGCCAGAACUACUGCAUCUUCCAAAGCACAAGCACCUUGGCCCAGAUUCGGAGUUAUUGGAUGCCAUGCAUCUCCCACCAGCACAAUUCUUCCUGCUGAAGCCAGGGGGCUGAUGCUGUGCCACAGCCACGGUUUACAUCUUUGGUCCAAAUGGCUGCCCAUCGGGAUAAGAUGCAAGACCACGAAAAGCACAAUGCCUUCAAACUUAGCCUCAGGGAAUCCCAUCCACUUAGCCGUAGGAGAUCGGCGGAAGAUAUUGAAAAAUAUUUGUGAUUUCAGUUUCACCCUUCAUCAAUCUGCUAUGCAAAAAGCGAUAUAUAACCUGGAAAAGACGUUUAAAACAUUGUAAAAAGUGGCUAUCAUAUCUGAAAACACUUUUAGUCGUUCUAAAGCAUUAUCGGAUGUGCAAGUUUACUAGGAAAUUGAGGGAAUGGAUUAAGGAAACCUUUUGAGAUUUU